CCUACUGGAGACAUCAUUGGGGCAUCUUGCACAAUGGGGGAAACCCUGAUGCACCAACGCCGCGUGAGUUCUUCCUUCUUUCUUUCUUUCCCUCUCUCUCCUCCUUUCCUCUCAAAGAAUGUACCUGAAAAAGAAGCCCCGGCUAACUACGUGCCAGCAGCCGCGGUAAUACGUAGGGGGCACGCGUUAUCCUGAUUUACUGUGGGUAAAGGGAGCGUAGACGGAAAGGCAAGUCAGAAGUGAAAACCCAAGGCUCAACCAUGGGACUGCUUUUGAAACUGUCAAACUAGAGUACGGGAGAGGUAAGAGGAAUUCCUAGUGUAGCGGUGAAAGGCGUAGAGAUUAGGAGGAACACCAGUGGCGAAGGCGUCUUAAUGGACAGAAAAUGACGUUGAGGCUCGAAAGCGUGGGGAGCAAACAGGAUUAGAGAAAAAAGGAGUC
rnacentral:rRNA from 1 species